AGGAGGCAUCGCCAGUAGCUCCCAGGCAGUGACUCCGCGCGUAACGACAUGUAACCAUCGGACGGCCGUUUCGCGCGGUGUUAUGUCAUCGGUAACAAUCGCAAUACACGGAAGCCCGAAGAAACUCACAACGGACAACGCGGGUGGUGAUCCCCCGUGAGCGGAAUCGCAGAGCUCGCCCGUUUCCCCUGUUCGCGCGCGACCGUCCCCGUCGCAAGGUGUCGCACGCAAGACUCCGCGACUCGCCGACGUCGUCCCGACGCGACGACGCUUCUCCCCCGUUCGCGUCGGCCAACGUGAGAUCUCCUCGUCCUCCGCGGGUCCUCGCGGGUUCACGUCACAGAGUACCGUUCGCGAGAGCUCACGGCUGCACGGCGAGAGGAAGACACCAGCUACCACCAGCGUGUCUCUCGAUGGGUCGAGGAUAUUCGACGCGGCUGGCAGCCGUGAGCUCCGGCGAGCCAACGUCGCCGUCGCCGUCGCGAGCCUGUCGCAAAUCGACGCCCCGACGAUGAAGAUCGUGUCCGCUCCGCGGCGUGUCACGGUUCGAUAGCCGGAUGAACGCCGGCGACCUCGGCGUUAGCGUCGACGGCGCGCGAGCGGUUGGGAACGAGCGGUGGAUCCGCUCCGCAUGUCGACCACUGACCAGACGAUCAAACGGACAACGCGCGACGACGGGGCGACGACGGGACGACGACGGGUGGUCCUGGCUCACGCGGAAGCGCUCGACAAUGGCGAUACGUUGGCCUUGAGAUCGAUUGCACGAGCCCGAGGAGCUCGGUGAACGGCCGGGGUGUGCGACUUCAAGUCGAAUUCGUUGCGAUCGUGCCGUCUCGUUCGCUACCGGGUGUCGCGAUCGCAUUGCACCACGCCGCGGAAGAGGUUUACGAUGCGCGGAGUGGUAAACCAGCGGCGGGACGCGUCGAGAUCGCGCACGGGAGCUUCUUCCAGACGUACGGUGUCGCGACUAGUAAACAUGUGAAACGAAGAAUCGCGGCGUGUUUGACAUUUGGCUGUGUAAUAAAACCGUUAAAUUAUAUAAUAAUAAGUGGUGGGCCACACACACACACACACACACACACAUACAGUGCGAGUUAGCCGUCUGACGUCUCAUCGCGAUCGAUCACCGAGGACGAUCGGGGGACCGGAAACGGUCUCGUCGAUGGACGAGUGACAGAGUAACCACCGUGCGUUGAAUGGAGUGAUGAGCGGGGCCCCUGCGCGGGGCACAGUGCCCCGUCGUCAAAGACGCGACCAUCACCGUCACCAUCAUCAGAAUCAUCAUCAGCCGAAGCAUCCCAAGCAGCUACGGGAGGAGACGCCGCGGGACGGCGCGUCGGACGGCGAGCCGGAGGAGAAGCGGCCGAAGGUCAACCCGAUCUUUCUAUGGGCGUCGCAACGCGAACAGAGGAUCGUCGAAGUGAGAUGCGAAGAUUACGACAAGCGCAAUCGUAUCAAGCUGACCAAGACCGCGCAAGGAUGGCGCUCGAUACCGCGGACGACGUCCAACGUGUACUCGAUCGCCUUGGCCACCGCCAACGCCUGCAAGACGAGCCGGUCACCGAGCUUGGUGGACUCGCCAGCUUCGUCGGUCUUGUCCAACGACGAGAAGGAGAACGGCACGCUGCGCCAAGAGACCGCGGCGAACCCUCAUCAACGUCUGCCGAUCCGAAUGUACCCGGUGAACGGCGCGAGCAAUGGUGUGCUCACUGGCGUCGAAGGCACCGGUCGAAAGAGGUGUUACGAAGACGUGAGGAACGACGAAAACCGGCGAGGAUACGCGUAUCCCCUCGGAGUCCGUGACGAUUCCAACAGGAACGCCGUUCAAGGUUGCUCCGAGAACGGGGGUAAGGAAGACGACGAGGAGAACCGAACGGGAGACGUGGAGAUGGACCGCGAUGUACGAGGUACAGCCCAAGACUGUCUCAUGAGCAAGCACAGGCCGGUGGGCGACUGGGUUAACUUGGACAGGGCGCAGAAGGACAAGCUGUUACAGCCGCGAGUGGUGCUGGAGCAGUUGCAUCUGUCGCAACUUGUCGAGAGCUCGCAUCAAAAUGUCGUUUGCCAGACUAGAGAGAGGAAAGACUCGGCGAGCGAAACAGAGCGGAUGAGCCGAAGCAACGAGCGAGAUGAGGAGGAUGCGAUCGACCGGGCGGAGGAGGAGGAGGAGGAGGAGGAGGAGGAAGAGGAGGAGCAGGAGCAGGAGACGGCGGCUGAGGCGAGAGACAGUGAGAGAUGUCAGCGGGUGAACAAGGCGGGCAUUCAGGAUAUACUGAACAUGAUAAACGCCACGGCAUCGCCCGUUCUGGCCACUGACACUCCCAGCGCCGAUCUGCCGGUGGAUUCUACCAAGACCUACCGAGUGCUCGACGAAGGCGCACGCGAGAAGCAACGCGCCGACAAGAGAGGCAAGAAGCCGAGCCCCGUCGCGGAGCAGUCGUUCGAUAACGCGAGCGAUCGCUCGAGUUACCAGAUCGAAACAGUUCAAGACGGUGACGUCGACGUGGACGAGAAACCAGAAGUGCACGACGAGAAGAUCCUCGAGGACUACUCUUUAGACGUGGAGGAGAAGAAGAUCUGCGUGGACGACAAGAUCUUGCAGUCGCUCAAGAACAAUCCCAAGACGGACCUGCGAUUCUGCAAGGUCGUCGAAGCCGACGGUGGUCUGAUGAAUUCUCGACCAAGGUGCAGAUCCAACCCGUCCGACACGUGGCAGAACGCAUCGAACGAAAAGGCGUUGUUGGAAAUCGAAGAAGAGGCGCCGGACGAGCCCAACGAGCCACUGAAAAUCGAUUACGACGACAGUUCGAGGCUCCUGGACGCUCUGAGGAACACACCGGGGCUGUCGGUGUCUGUGAUGGGAGGCACAGUCGAAAUCAGCACCAAGAACCUGAUCACGCCACCUGCGAGGCCGCUCUCGAAAGCGUCCUCGUCGAGCAGAUCGCCGGACUCGCAAGCGGAGUGCGUGGAAAAGUUGCUGAAGAACGGCAGUGUCAACUCGCCGACGACCCCCGGCUUCCUCAACAACCACAGCUGCACGAUCUCACCUCGCAAUCUACCGGGUCUCUCCAUCAUUAUACCGAAUUAUCGCUACCGAAGCAACACGAGUCAGUUAACCGCUACCUCGCCGAGCAUUAAACGCCGCGUGGAGUCGCCCGAGAGCACAGUAAGUUUCAACAAAACCGAGCCGGAGGAAACAAAGCUCGACGAGCUCCCGCACGAGGAGGACGACGAGGAGACUGAGGAAGUUGACGAAGCCGAAGAUGUUGACGAAGAGGACGACUGUGAUUCGCAGGUAUUGGAGGACCUCAGGAGGCAAAGGGCAGAUUCACUGGUGUACGACAAUGUGGACAUCGACUGUUACAACAGGCACGGCUCCAGGAACAUUACGGAAGACCGUAAGGCAUCGUUGGAGAACGCGAAGGGCGAUCAUCUUUGGACAAGCUCCAACCGGAGCAGUGAGGCGCAGGCCAAGUGUAAAUAUCAAGACCUGGAGCACUUUGACGAGCAGGUGCUGGAGGAGUUGCGGUCUCGCGGUACCGUAGUGUCUCCUCAGCCCAGCGGGAUACCGUGCUCGCCGGCCUCCAGGAGACCAUCCUCCACGUAUCUCGAGAGACUACUUCCGAGCCCACCGUGCUCGGUGUCUUGUUCGGAGGACGCCAAGAGCGAGUUGACGCUCAAGAGCAUCUUGCCGUCUCCCAACUGCGCGGAGCCGAAGGAUCACGAGAGACCCAAGAAGGAAGGAGCGUUGAUUCGAGCCGAUAAUCAGGGCGUGGACGUCGGUCGAUCUGUGUACUCGAGUGUCGAUAGAAACGCCGGCGCUGCCGUUGUGGCCGCUAGAAAAGCCAGCCGGAGCUUCCAGGAGCGCUCGAGCGUCCACAAUCAGGAGAUGUGGAACCACGGUAGGCCGAUGUCCAGCGGCGAUAUGCACAGCAGCUUCUACACGACGGAUCGCAGCGCGCCGAAGAGGCCGAUGUCCGUCGAGUGGCCGACCGGUCGACAAAAGAACGAAAGAACAAAUUGCUGCCAGGGAGUCGCCGGGAAAACCGUGAGGAGUCACUUCGCCGAACAUCUCCAGGACACUUGCGCCACGUCGAGCAGCACGGACAAGCUCCUGGACCCGGCUAGUCAGCUGCGCGAGCUAGUCGAAACCUUCGGCCACUUGAUUCCCGACCCUCUGCUGGUGCCGCGCAAUUACCUGCCGGCUUUGGCUGCAAAUCCAGCCACGGAGAUACCGAAGUUGCUCGCUACUAGACCUGAAUUGAGGCUACCUGAGGCGCUCACCAGACCCGACCUCCUCCGCGACCCCGACUUGCUCGUGAUAUCGUUGGCGCAUCUACAACACGUCCUGGAUCACGGCGAGGGACCGGUGUCCAGGUCGCAACAAUUGCAACCGGCCAGAGUCAGUUACAAUAACAGUAACAACCGAGGAUCCGGUCACAGCGGAUACAACGGCGGCACCGCGAGAGGUGCCACCGCGGGGAAACCCAAGCUAAGUUGCAAGCCGAUCGGCACGCUGAUGCCGGCACCGAUAGACUUGUCGAAUAGCAGAACGCGCGUCAACCCUUACCCGCCUCUCCUCAGGGUGCGCAGCGGACUGCUCAAGCAGGAGCCGGAAGUCAGCUCCACCGCGAGCUCGCCGGAUGAGUCGCAAUUGUGGCACCCGUUAUUCGGCAGGUGAGUAGGUCGACUGAUAUUUCCGAAUCGAUCUCUUCGCGAAGAGUACUCUCCAAGUUUUCCCGAGUAAAAUCCUACUCAAAACUCGAGUGAGAAUACCGACACAUAGGAUCAAGAUUGAACGAUCAAAGAGACAAGUUUCAGACCAAAGAAAGCAAAUAUUUUACUUAAACAAAACUACCAAGUAAAUGUGUUUGAAUUUUAUAGAUGUAAUUGAAUAAUAUUUGAACAAAAAUAUUUAAAAUUAUCUUUCUGUGCGGAAAUAACAGCAUUUAUUGCUAUUUCGAUUCUACACGCUUACUUAGAAUUUUAAAUUAAUAGUUCACUCGACUAUUUAGAGUAGAGAAAAAUCACUCUACAUAUUAGAAUAUGUAUAGAGUGACGAAUUCGAGUGACCCGACUGUCACUCUAUUUCCUGAGUGGAAUUUUGCUCGAAAAAAUUUGGAGAGUAAAGUCUAGAUUCGCGACUUACGUCUCUCGCUUUAACAUCGCGACUCAGAAUCGAUAUCAUGCUUGUUGAAUUGGCCUCCUCCGCCUUUAAUACCUCGGACAGUUGAUGAACUCGCGAUCGUCAGUGAUGGGGAGGACGCGUUCGAUUCGCGACGACGGUGUUCGUAUCACAUCGUCGUCGACAGGCCUGUCCAAUUAUGCAGACUGAGCAAUAGAAAUAAACUCUCAUUGAGAACGUAACAUCCCACGAAGCGCGGCAGCGUAAUAUAGCUAGCGCGCGCGGACAGCACAUUGGAUAUAUUUAUAGAGCGAAAGACGUGUGAAACCCGGGGAAAUAAUAAAAAAAAGAAGAGAAAAAAAAGCAAAGUGGCCCUCGCUCACUCGGGCGCAAAUAGGUCGGCCUUAAUAACGACCACGACAAAGCACGAGCGCACGAAAACAAUACUGUUAACCUUCGGCGAAGUCACGAAGGAGGAGUUGCGAACAAAGCGACGACGACGACGACGACGACGUUGCGUCCGCGAGCGAGACGCUGAAAGGAAACGACGACGAAGCGGCGACGCCGGUCGCUCGCUCCGGUUCUCCCUCGCGAGCGACACAAAGUGUUCGCGCACAGGAAGUACAUUCUGAUCCCUUCCGCGUCUACAAUUAACACGUGGGGACACGCUCUCAGUCAUGCAAAUGCCGUCCGUGUGUAUUCUUGCCGAUGCGCCCGCGUCCGUUGAACGAUUAAAUUUACACCGUUUCCAUCGACCCGCUGCGUCCCCCGAGAAAGAUUCGUCACGUCGAUGCUUUAUGCAUACUGGAGGAGAUCGGCCGUGCAGAGGCGCUACCGGGGCGUUUCGCGAUUCUGUUUGACGUCGGCGGGCAUAUCGACUCGCGCGACGAUGACGGCGGCGACUGCCGUCACAGCGACGGCCACGGGCUUCAUUUGCAUCUUAAUACGGCGACGGUAACGCGACUCGACGCGGUUAGCCGCGACGCGCCUAACAAAUUCCGCCGAGGUGCUUGUCACUCGAGUUUAUAACGAGCCGAUCCGUCGAGCACGUCCGUACAUCGACACUGUUAAAUAUUUAAAUUAGAUCGAGCACUGCCGACCAAGAAGCAGGCUCUGCUUGUAUCGCGUCGGCGGCAGCGACGCAGCGUGACCUAAUAUUACGCUUCCUCCGCCGCGGCCGAAAGGAGGAUUGAUGGGCGUCGUUAGCGGAGGGUAAUUGGGACGAGGCGGUGGAUGCACCGCGGAAAAUAUCACGACGUGGGAAACAGAAAGGGCAAUAGUCCGUCGGACUCAUCGGACUCGACCAGAAAUUGGUUCCAUGAUCCUCUGAUCAGAAUGGUCCCAGUUGAUUGUCUGUCUUGUGUAAGUUCCUGCUGGGAGAAGUUCGACUCCUGCUUGAGGCAUAAUUUCUCGCAAUUGAACGAAUGAAAAGAUGCAUAAUUAAAUAAUUAGAAGAGGGGGCUAAAUUACUAGUUACAACGAUCGGACAGGAAAAAGUUCUAAUUAAUCAGCUUUUAAGCGGUAAUAAGAUGCAACAAUGAAAAUUUCGACAACGUUCUUUCUUCGUGAAAAGAUCAACUUUUUUAAAUGAAACCAUAUCUUUUUUCAUCUGCAGCGCUGUAAAAAGAAUUAAGCGAAAUUUAAUAGUAACUUAUGUUCUUUCCAUUGUCAUUUUGCAGGGGAUGGAAAAAAAACUGGAAUGGGUUACACUUCAGAUAUGUCUUGAGAGUACCUAAUAUUAUUCUUAAUCACGUAUUGUAUUAAAAACAUCAUAUUUUCUAUAUUUUUACAGUUAAAUAUUGAUAAAAAUAACAUUAUGAAUUACUAUUGUCUCUUUUUUUUUAUUUUUUACAAUUUGGAUAAAAAGAAAUAUAGUUUCAUUUAAAAAAAUAAAGAUGACCUUGAUUUCUUUUUGCGAAAAAAGAAACCAGAAAAGGAACUUUGCAAAAUUUUUAUUGUAUCUUAUUGCCAUUUAAAAAUAGAUUAACCUAACAUUUGUUUCUUGUUUGAUUAUUGUAACUAAAUAGUAAAAAAAUAGUGGAUACUACUGGCAUGAACAUUUCGUACAAUAUGUUUGUACAAAGUGACCUUAUCGGGUUAUCUGACAAGUCAGGUAACGCAAUGUGGCAAUCAGGUUCUUAUUAAUAAUAAAUAUUUAAUAAAAUAAUUUUAUAAAAUAAUUAGAGUCUUAUUGUAAUUAUAAUAAGUGUGACCCGAUAAUAUCGCCUUAUAUAAACCAGACAACUGAUUGGUGUCGACCUGAUCGACCGUGGGAUAAAUUUCUAGCCAGGGAGACGACGGUAUGUCCCCGGCGCGGCAUCCUCAGCAAUUCGAAGGAAUCGCGCGCACGGAGGAGAGACUGCUUAGAAUAGAAUCCCCGAAAUUGCGUGCGCAAUCGCGCGGGCAUCGGAGAUUUUUGGCAGCGCCGCUCGCCGCUGCGCUCGAAACGCGCGACUUUAAUCCCACGAGGAACCGCCGCCGGAGUGUCCGCCGAUACGCUCGGAAAAUUCCCAGAGCCGAUCCUGCGGCACACACCCGACUGCUAAUUGGCGGAUCGAGACUUCGCUAAUUAGGACCGCCGGCCACUGUUGCACGAUCAGCCAUUGGCAUGACGCGAAACUAGGUCGCGGCGUCGUUUUUCGUCCUACGUUCGUUGCCUGCGCUCGCAACGAAGACAAUGAUGAAGACAGUGCGGACGAAGAGACAUUGUCGACGACUACUAGGAAGAGGAGGAGGAGGAGGAGGAGUAGGAGGCGUGGUUGCGUAAGUCCGCAUAUUUAGGAUUCAUAGGCUCGGGUAUAGAUCCGAAGGAAUCGAUAACGAUACGUGGGCAGAAAGGGUAAAGGAUGUCCAACGGCGGUAUGCUAAUUUCCCUUCGCAGUAGGGAGGAGGACACGUCUGCGAUCGUUAUUCGUGCGACGGAUCUCUUCAUUUAUUAUGUUCAGAGUGACACGCCGGGAAGCUACUUUAAUAAAUUAGCCUUGAACCGGGAUUUGAUUAAACGAAGACCUAUAUGUCGACUAUAUAACAAGACAUGUGACGGUAUAUAAGACGAGUUGCACGUCACUCGUACUACUAGGGAACGCGAAUUCCAUCCGAGUCAAGAGAAGAGCUUGACUAUCGCUGUUCUCCGCGGAAAAAUCGCGCCUAUACCGUCACGAACGCGUCCCACGUCUCAUUCUCACGCGACCCAAGUCGAAAUUUCGAUUCUACUUUCGACCCGAAUAUUCCAUUUAAGGCUCCUGGAUACUCACCAUGUUGGAUUCUGUCGUUAGAAAUGAGAAAUGAAGCGAGUGGUGAAAAUUUUUGCGUGCUAUUUCUAAAUAAAAAGAUAUUUGUGUGAAGAAGCACUUCAGUGCUGGGAUUCUAUAACUCGUUAUUGGAGUUAAUCGUUAUCGUUGCGCAACUUUUCUACAGUAUAUAAAAGCUGCGGAACGAUAACAAAACUGUCGUUAACUCCAAUAAUGAGUUACAGAAUCCCAGCACAGAUCGCAUGUUUGAACACACUUGCAGAAUGUUCCGAAAACUUUUCCUCUUGACAAUCAAGAAAUAAACGUAAAAUUAAUGUUGCCAAAUCAUGAGAAAAAAUAGGUUAAGAAGGAAUUGCCAAGAGAAAAAAGUAAUUUUUCCAAACAUUUUCCAAGUAUACUUAAACGAUCACGCGAAUGUUCUUUCGUUUAAAUAUACUUCUUAUUUAAGAAUGGCACGUAGAAAUUUCGGACAUUAGUUUUCUCGCUUCUAAUAUCAUCCAUCCAGAUUUCCACUGAGUAAGUACUCAGAAGCUUCAACACCUGAUAUUCUGAAGUCUAUAUCAAUCUCUGUUGAUACUAUUUAACCUAUUCAUUUUGCUGAGAAAUUCACUGUAGAACCUACAAGUGGCAUUUUAUAUCCUUUCCGCCAUUUAGAGGCCUUAAAUAGGACUUCAGUUUCCACGUGUAAUCAAACACACGCUGAUCCUUCAGUAUAUACAGUUGGAAAGUUGAAAAGUUUUCGGGUCGAAAAUAGGGCGAAAAUUUCGACUCGGCGAUGCGCACGUGUGCGUUUUAAUUAACGCGGAAACAGAUAUUCGUGGCGCGUGGAAAAUAUUUCUCGAUACGCGGCCGGGCGCGAGUUCUUUUUCCGACGAGGAUUCACAGUUCCGAUUUCAGCAUGGUCGAGCACAAAAAGCGAGAUCCUCCAAGCCUGGGGAAACAGAUAUCGAUUCGCAAGAGAGAGAUAAAAUGUGUAUGUUCCGGAGUCGACGUGGCAUCCGCGUCUUCCGCUAAUGAAAUGCACGAGAAACCAAGAGAACGUCGUUGGCAAUUAAUAGCGCGUACGUCGCGUCGCGUCGUCUCGACGAAGACAAAGCGACCGGCGUCGUCGGGAGUCCCGAAACCCGUACGGGAUUAUACUGGUGCUCGAUUGUGUCUGAUGUAAACGCGAGAGAGAACACCAACCAUCACACAUACGCGCAACCAUCCACAACGUCGAAGCGGCCUCGAACGCGCUUUCGCCACGGUGGAGCACUUGUGUAAAUAGCAUUAGGAUGCUACUCUCCGCGGAGCAUACGGACGGCUUUAAUGAGAAGGAGAGGGAGAGGGACAGGCAUUAGAGAAGGGUCCUCCUCGUCGUCAUAUAACGACACGAGCGCUCAUCGAUCGCAAAAGCGGCCCUGAGCAGGGAAUUCGAAAGUGCGGGGAACGCGUCGGACAGGAAGCGAAAAUCUCUCUCUCUUUCACACAGCGGGGUUUAACCCUCUCGCGGAAGGCCGAAUGAACGAAGUGCAGAGGGAGGAAGGGACAAAUCAAUUUGUUAUUCCGGCGUAACGAUCUCGCCGAGAGAGAAUCGAGCUUACUGUCAUCCUGAUAUUCGCGUUAGCACGGAUAUUCGAUUACGAACGGUGCUUUGAAAUCGGAACAAUGUGAUCGCGAUACAACAUAAUGUCGAAUAUCAAAUAAACAAACGCGCGGUUUCGCGGUUCCCGUGGCGACGCGGCUCAUGCAAAAGUGAAUAUCAAAGGAACACUGAUAUCCGCUUACACAUGGUGGCGCACUUCAUAAUUCCUUUACAUAAUCGUGUCAUCGCGCACAUGCACCUUGUUAAAAAAAAAAAGGAAAGAGAAAAUGAGUUCACUUGGAAAUACGUCGUUGGCCGUCGAUAUCAUUACGAUUGCUACUCCUCGCGCGACUUUUGUAGAUCAACAGGAUGUGAUCGUGCACAUGGUCCGUUUGAUAAGAACGUGUUGACGCGCGUGAGGCACGUUGAGCCUCCAUGCUGUAAUCGAGCGAUAAUUUAAAAAAAAGUAAGAAAGAAAAGAAAACCAAACGUUCCGAUCAUUCGUCCGCUCGUGAUGACGUAACGAUGCAUUAUUGCGCGGGAAAUAGCGAAGGGUCAUGUCAUCCCUAUGUUUACGUAUAAUUAAUAAUUCACACGCCACGCCGGUGCCACACAUAACAAACCGUAAGCGAUCUUGAUAAGCGUAAUUACACGCAUCGACAGGCAUAAUUCCGCGGCAUAUAAUGACGAAGUGAGUUUAUGCGCUCAAAUCACGUCUCGAGAAUUGUACAUAGGACGUGUUGUACGGCGAAUUUGCAAUAUCUACGCGGAUGUUAUUGUUUCAUACAAGAUGCAGGAGAAACUUCAAUAUAAGGCAGUCUUCUAAAUUGUGCCUCAUCAAUUGCACUUGGUUUUUCUCUUAAUAUUUGCUGCACAUACAAAAUAGGAUAUAAUCUGCAUUUUUGUUUAUAAUAACGAUAAUAAUGAUAAUAAUAAUAACUUUAUUAGUACAACAAAAAAAGCAAGAAGUAAUAUUACAAAGUAAAGGAAAUAUUACAAAAAAAGGAAGAGGAGAAAAAGAAGUAAAAAGCGAGGCGACAGCGAUGAAGCUGUUAAAAUUGCCUUACUUGAGUCUAAAGAAAGCUGGUGACACAGUAGAAAAAUCAAGUUAUACUUCUCACCGCUCAUUUAUUUCUCAUUUUUACCGUCAGAUGUCAUUCAACAAUAAUGAAGUGGCUGAUGAGGUACGAUUUCGGCAACUCUCCCCUAAAAUGCAUUUACAUGUUUGUCCGAAAUGGCAGACGCGUAUUCCACGGCUGAAUGUUAGCUGCGAUCGCCGGGUCGAUUGAGACGAGGAGUUUAUUUUCUUGGAGGAUUUAUAGAGAGAUCGAUCCCCAACGCGAGAGGUCGAACUAAUCGAAUCCCCGACUUACAACGUGGCUAACUACGGUGAUCGUCGACGAUAUUUCUCGCGUAGCCGCGCACUCCAACCCGAUUCUACCACGAUGGAAUCUCAGGAGAUCUCCCGCCAUAGAAUUGGAUCGGCAGGGACGUACAAUUCGAGAAGAUCCGGCGACCGGCGCGAUUUACGAGACGUCCGGCCGGAUCGGUCGAUGCUCGCCGGCCCUGAAGACUCACCUCGCCCACGUCCACGCCCACGUUGCCGCCACAGGGAGAGGAAGAAAACUCGAGAGAAAAGGAGACGGCAUCGAGACAGAAGGAAGGAACGAGACAGAGCGAGAGAGGGAGGUAGAUAGAGAGAGACAGAGAGGGAAAGAUUGAGAACGGACGAAACUAAAAGGUAGAGAACGAGGAGAACGACCGAAAGUUAGAAGAAGAAAAAGUCGUCAGAGGAGAGGGAGAGAGGGAGAGAGGGAGGGGGAGCGGCGAGUCCUCAUCUCGUCCUUCUCUAUCCCUCUUCUUCGUCUACGUUCUCCUCCGUUCCCUCGCGCGAUCUUGUCUAGUCGUUCUUCCCUCUUUCCCCUGCCGAUCUUGUCCCCCCUCCCCCCGUUCACAUUUUCUACGUUCUAUCUCGUUCUUCCUUCCGCCUUCACCUUCGUUUCUAUCCACCUUCAUCGUCGUCGUCGUUAUCGUCGUCGUUGGUGCCUCACUUUCUCUAGCUCGCUUCCUCUAUCCGUUUCUCUCCGCCUCUUACUCUACCCCUUGCUUCCUCCCCUCCCCCUCCCUGCGAACGUCCCUAGCAAUAACUCGCUGGAAGCAUUCGCAAGCCGUCCGAGCUGUCCGAGUUCGCGGUAUCGCUUAUAAAGUCGCCCGGUGACGAGCAUUGCGACACAGUGAUCGAGCCAGACGAGGGGGUCAUUGGUCCCCUGGGACUGCCACGAGGAAUCCUCUCUCUCUUGCUCUCGCUCUUGCCUUCCCCGCUGAGCCUCCUCUCGUUCUCGCCAAUGCACGUAUACGUACGUAUCGCCGGUGUGAACGCCCCUUUAAAAGCGGAUCGAUGGAUAUCGCUAGGAAGCGCGCACACACACACAUACCGCAUUAUCCAUGCGGUUUGUACGAAAAGGUGCCAGUGACCAAAAUUGGUCGCGGGAAGCAACGCCUAUUUCAAAAUCAUUUGCGGAGCAAAGAUGUCAAUUUUGCACCGAGGAACAACAAUUCCACUUGUUCAGCGGGGAGUUAUCUUCGAGAAAAUAAAACGAUGAAAAGUGAAGGCCAGCAAAAAUAUCACAAUGACAUGUACCCUAACCUUGGACGUUCUUAUCGUUUCGGUCUUUAAAUUUGAAUAUUUAAACUCUUAACAUAAAAAUAUAUAUAUACAUAUAAUGAAUAUAUACAUAUCUAUAUUAGAAGCUUAAACAUUCGUAUUUAAAUAUUCGUAUUAAAUUACGAUAAGAAAGUCCAGGAUUAGGUACGUACCCUGGAAUUCGUAUUUUUACUUUAAUCUACAUUUUACAUUCGAACGACGUCACGGAAUAUAUCGAUGAAUAUAAACAGUCGGGAAAAAGAGGCCAACUUCUAACCCAGCCACAAUCGUAGCGACAAUCGCAUCACGACGUCGGAGUCAGUAACUUCGGGGAAAAGUUGGGCCGCGAACUGCCGCCGUUUCCACGACAAGCCUGCGUCGAGGCUGAAAGUAAUAACGAUGAUCGGUCGACGACGAACAACGAUGACGAGAUGCGAGACAUUAUGACAAUCUAAAUCCGCCGGACGGAGUUUCAAGUAUCACGUCGGACAUAAAUAGGCCAAAAGAGGCAGCAGCAGCAACAGCAGCAGCCACGACUACGGUACCAUCAGUACCAGCAACAGCAGUACC